rnacentral:ribozyme from 1 species
UGCCCAGCAACUCCUAUCUCUACCUCCUCGUGGUACUGGUCAGGGUAGGAGUAAGCUUAGGGAAGAUCGGGUAGCCAACCCCGGUGGGAACUGUGGUCGUAAGCUGGCAGGGAAGG